GGGAUAACCGCUGAAAGCAUCUAAGUGGGAAGCCCCCCCCAAGAUGAGUACUCCCAGACUUUGUUCUCGGAAGGGCCGUGCGAGACGAGCACGUUGAUAGGCGGCAAGUGGAAGCGUGGUAACACGUGCAGCUGAGCCGUACUAAUGGCCCGAGAGGCUUGACCA
rnacentral:rRNA from 1 species